GACGAACGCUGGCGGCGUGCUUAACACAUGCAAGUCGAACGGUAAGGCCCUUCGGGUACACGAAUGGCGAACGGGUGAGUAACACGUGAACAACCUGCCCUUGACUCUGGGAUAACAGUUGGAAACAGCUGCUAAUACCGGAUACGAGCCUGCAAGACAUCUUGCGGGCUUGAAAGCUCCGGCGGUCAAGGAUGGAUUCGCGGCCUAUCAGCUUGUUGGUGAGGUAACGGCUCACCAAGGCUUCGACGGGUAGCCGGCCUGAGAGGGCGACCGGCCACACUGGGACUGAGAUACGGCCCAGACUCCUACGGGAGGCAGCAGUGGGAAUAUUGCGCAAUGGGCGAAAGCCUGACGCAGC
rnacentral:rRNA from 1 species